GGGCCCGCACAAGCGGAGGAACAUGUGGUUUAAUUCGAUGAUACGCGAGGAACCUUACCCGGGCUUGAAAUGUAUCCGACUGGAGUGGAACAUUCCUUCUAGCAAUAGCAGAUAUGUAGGUGCUGCAUGGUUGUCGUCAGCUCGUGCCGUGAGGUGUCGGCUUAAGUGCCAUAACGAGCGCAACCCUUAUCUUUAGUUACUAACAGGUCAUGCUGAGGACUCUGAAGAGACUGCCGUCGUAAGAUGUGAGGAAGGUGGGGAUGACGUCAAAUCAGCACGGCCCUUACGUCCGGGGCUACACACGUGUUACAAUGGGGGGUACAGCAGGUCGCUACCUGGCAACAGGAUGCUAAUCUUUUUAAAACCUCUCUCAGUUCGGAUCGAAGUCUGCAACCCGACUUCGUGAAGCUGGAUUCGCUAGUAAUCGCGCAUCAGCCACGGCG
rnacentral:rRNA from 1 species